ACUCCCACUGCAUACUCACGCUCUCCUAACCCUUAAUCCUCUUUCUACCUCUGGUCCACCACGAAGCUGCUUCUGGCUUUCCUCCACCGGGAAACCACUUCUCUACAAACCGCGUUUCGUUCACGCAAGAUGUGUUCUGCGAUUUGUUGGAUUUCAAGGUACAAAAGGUGACUACCACUUCUGCAAUACACGUUUCAAGGUGAUUUUUGUUGGAUGAAUUGGCGUUUCCGUUUCCGUGCUGUGUUUUUUACUGGAUCCACGAACUGAUUUUUUACAGGAUGAAAUUCAUUUCUCGGUUCAGUUAGAGGUUCAAAACGUCAACUGAUUUUCUACGGUGUUUUAAUCAUCUGCAACUUGCUUAUGGUUCUGAAAUUUUGCAAGAGUGCAACGCUAUUCCCAGCUAAGUUCUGAAAUCACGUCUACUGAUUUUACUGCUUUGAGAACGAAAUCAGUAUUAAAGUUUUAUAGCAGUUCAGGGAGAUGAUCAAGGAUUACUUCUGUUCCAAUUCCUGUAAGUUGCUUCUUACUCAUCAUCUUAACUCUAGGUAAUUUAUUGUUUGUUACGGUAUUUUAGGAAUUCCUUUUUAACUUUAGUCUGAAUUAAAUAUAGAUUUUUAAACCAUAUAUCAAUCUAGGUUUAAAAAACAGUGAGAAGUGGACUAAUUAGUAUUUCUUUAGUACUUGAAGUGCAGAGUAUAGUAAACACGAUGCAAGAAAAAAGAAAACAGAGAAGAAAAGAAGGACGAGGGAGAUAAAAAGAGAACGAAGAGGUGUGUUUUACGUUUUGAUGUAUCUGAUAACUCUUUUUGCAGCUUUCAUAUGUGUUUCGUUUGGACAGUGCAUGAACCUUGAAAGAAUACUCACAACAUUUAGGAUGUCAGGUCUGGUUGUUGUUAAGUACAUCAGACAACCUAUCAAACUUCUAAACUUAGAUUCAUUAACCUUGUCAGAACCAUCAUCUUUGAUUAGCUUCUCCUUUUGAUUCAUGGGAGUGUUCACAGUUUUGCAAUCUUCCAUCAGAAAUUUCUUGAGUAUUUCCUUUGCAUGUUUUCUUUGACUUAAGAAAACUUCAUCCUGAUUCUGUUUGAUCUCAAUGCCAAGAAAGUAUGACAUAAGACCAAGAUCUGUCAUUUCAAAGACCUUUUUCAUUUCCAGUUUGAACUGGUUGAUUUCUUCAACAUUGCUUCCUGUAACUAACAUGACAUCCACAUAAAGAGAAAUUACCAAAAUAUUUGUACCUUGAUGUUUGACAUACAAUGUGAGUUCAGAUUGGCUUUUAUGAAAGCCAAGGUGCACCAGAUGAUCAUCAACCUUGUUGUACCAGGCUCGUGGAGCUAGCUUUAAUCCAUAUAAAUCCUUUUUCAAAAAGUAGACUUUAUUUUCAUUGCCCUCAUUCACAAAGCCUUCAGGUUGUUCAACAAAAAUUUCUUCUUGCAAAUCUCCAUUUAAGAAUGCAGAUUUAACAUCCAAAUGGUAUACUUUCCAGCUCCUUUGAGCAGCAAGAGCAAGCAAUAAUAUUACAGUGUCAAGCCUGGCAACAGGUGCAAAUGUCUUUGAAUAAUCAACACCAAAAACUUGUGCAUAUCCUUUCACAACAAGUCUUGCUUUGAAUUUGUUGAUAGAACCAUCAGGACUUAGCUUGGUUCUGAAAACCCAUCUUACUCCAAUUAUUUUUCUGUUUAGUCGACCAACCAACUCCCAGGUUUUAUUUUUCUCAAUCAUAGAAAGCUCCUCCUACAUUGCAGCCAUCCAGUGUUGACUGUUUUUUGCAUCGUGAAAUCCUGCAGGCUCACAAACAGCUACAUUGCACCUUUGACAGAUGUCAGACAAUAGUCUUGUUCCUCUGACAGGUGCAUCAUCAACUGUAGCAUCAUCUUCAGAUUCUUCAGUCAUGCUCCCAAGGGUUGAACUGUUUGGAGCAUUUGGACUUUGAUUCACCUUAGUUGAACUUUCCCAAUCCCAUUGUUCAUUUUCAACAAAAUGAACAUCUCUGCUUACAAUCACACGACCAAUUUGUGGCUGAAAAAUUUUGUAAGCUUUGGAUACAGUGCUAUAUCCAACAAAGAUGCUUGCUUAUGCUUUUUUAUCAAGCUUAUCACGCUUGACCUGUGGAAUAUAAGUGAAGCAAAGACAACCAAAUAUUUUGAGAAAUUUUAAAGAAGGUUUGUAGCCAUACCAAGCUUCAUAUGGUGUCAGAUCUUUCAAGGCUUUUGUAGAAAUUCGAUUUUGUAGGAAUACAACAGUGUUUGUUGCCUCCCCCCAUAACCCUUUUGGAAGAUUCUUUUCAUGGAGCAUACACCUUGUCAUCUCCAUAAUGAAUCUGUUCUUCCUUUCACUGACACCAUUCUGUCGAGGAGUAUAUGGUGUUGUUAAUUGAUGUUGAAUUCCAGCUUCUUCACAAAAUUUGUUGAAAGCAUCAGAGGUGUAUUCCUUGCCAUUGUCAGACCUUAUAAUCUGAAUUGAGCAUCCACUUUCAUUUUCAACUCUGGUUUUGAAUUUCCAGAAUAUACUGGGAACCUCUAACUUUUGUUUCAACAUGAAAAUCCAACACAUUCUUGUUAGAUCAUCAAUAAAAAUUAUGUAGUAGAGGUUACCAUUUAAUGAAGGUGUUCUCUGAGGACCACACAAAUCAGUGUGCACCAGUUGCAGCUUUUUCGAGGCUCUCCAAGCUUGUUUAGGGAAAGGUUGUCUGUGUUGCUUCCCAAAAUUGCAGGCAUGACAAGGAGGAAUAUUAUCAUCAAUGUCUGCGAGUCCUUCAACUAGCUUCUUUGAUUGCAUCUGAAACAAUCCUUGAUGAUGAAAGUGCCCAAGUCUUUUGUGCCAAAUCUCAGUGGCACUAGCUCUGGACUUGAAGGCCAUUUGUUCUUUCUCCAUUGGAUUUAAAGCAAAGCUUUUUCCUUUCAUUUUGACAUUGAACAAGUCUUUGCCACUAGCAUCUCUAAUCAAGCACUGUUUAUUCUCAAACAACACUUUAUAGCCUUUAUCGAGUAGGUGGCCAACACUUAAGAGAUUUUGAUCAAUUUUAGGUACAAAUAAAACAUCUGAAACAAAUUUUGUACCUUCAUAGCUUGCUAUAGCUACUGUGCCUUUUUCCCUUGACUUCCAAGAGUUCACCAUUUCCAAUUCUCACUCUCUUAACUUCAGUGUUUUUUAAUUCUUCGAAAAGCUCCUUGUCAUAUGUCAUAUGAUUUGUGCACCCACUGUCAAUCAACCAGCUCUCACUUGAUUCUCUACUUGAGAAACAAGUGACCACGAACAAUUGAUCUUCUUCUUGACCAACAACUUGUGCAUCUACUUCUUGCACCUGACCUUUGACUUUGCAGAUCACAGCUUCAUGUCCAAGUUGAUUGCAUUUGGAGCAUUUUGCAUCGGGUCUUCUCCAACACUUGUAUGGUGGAUGACCUUUCUUCUCACAGUGGCGGCAAGGUGGGUAGGAUUUUUUGGAACCUUCUUCCUUUUUUAAGUUUUUCUUCUUUUUGUACCUGUUGUUGUCUUGAUGCUUGACAGGUAAAGCUCCUUCAAUCACCCCUUCUUGCCUCAUAGACCUUCUUUGCUCUUGUGCUUGUAAAGCAUUCAAGAGCUCUGUAAGAGAGAUUUUUGACAGGUCUUAGGUGUUCUCCAGAGUAGUAAUGGUGGCUUCAAACUUCCCGGGAACAGUGACCUGCAGCUUUUCAACAAUCCUAGAGUCAAUACACACAGAACCAAGUAAUCUCACCUUAUUGGCAAUGCUGAGAAGUCUGUCAGAGUACUCCUUCAUUGACUCAAACUCCUUCCUCUUCUGCAACUCGAAAUCCUGAAUCAAAUUCAGGACUUUCAUUCCACGAAUCCUCUCAUCUCCUGCAAAUUCACCCUUGAGGUAAUCCCAAAUUUCCUUUGUUGUUUUGAGGGACAUUAUUCGUGUGAAGAUCAUUUGAGAUAUAACUGCAAAUAGGCAAGCUUUUUCCUUUGAUUUUAUGGUUUUUUUCUCCUUCUAUGCUUUGAUUUGUGCAACAGUAGGAUUUGCUGGAAGUGGAGGGACUUCGUAAUCUUCUUCUACUGCUUCCCAAAGAUCCAAAGCCUUCAGAUAAGUCUCCAUACGAAUUGCCCACAUUUGAUAAUUGUCUCCAUCAAAGACUGGUGGUGCAACAGCUGAAAAACUUGAUUCUCCUUCCAUUUUGACCUCACAGAUCCCUUAAGAAGAGUGCUUUGAUACCAAUUUGUUAGUUUCAAAACAAAUAAUAUUUGAUUGAUCAAUUGAGAUGAUAUAUUAAAGUUGGAAAGUUGUGCAUUUGUACACAGAAUGAAUAAAGAUUGUUCUAAAAAACAGAAAAUAAAUAUGGUAACAAACCAAUAGUUAAAACAGAAUUAAUUAAUUUUCUAAAAAUCUGGAGACUUAUUCAAUAACAAAAAAAAGCUAACUUGUAGGAUGUUAAACACAUGAUCCUAACAAACAUUCUUAAAUAUCAACUUUUUUUUAAAAGAACUAUAGAAAAGGUUUCAUAAAACCAAUAAAAGAAGAAAGAGUUUGGUUACUGACUUACCACGUCAAAAACAGCCUUAAGUUAACU
rnacentral:lncRNA from 1 species